AGCGGGGCGGGCGAGAUGCUGCGGCUGCUGGCGUCCGGCUGCGCCCGGGGCCUGGGGGGCGGCGGGGGCGCGCGGGGCCUGGCUCCCGGGGGCCGCGCGCGUCCUGCCGCGGGGCUCUGCGACCCCGGCGGCAGCCGGAGCCGCCAGGCCUCCGACGCCCCCCGGAACCAACCUCCCAGCUCCGAGUUCGUGGCCCGGUCGGUGGGCAUCUGCUCCAUGAUGCGGCUGCCCGUGCAGGCCUCCCCCGAGGGGCUGGAUGCCGCCUUCAUCGGGGUGCCGCUGGACAUUGGGACCUCCAACCGGCCCGGGGCGAGAUUUGGACCCCGACGGAUCCGCGAAGAAUCAGUGCUGCUUCGGCCAGCCAACCCUAGCACAGGAGCUCUCCCCUUCCAGUCCCUCAUGGUUGCAGACCUAGGCGAUGUGAAUGUCAAUCUUUACAACCUUCAGGACAGCUGCCGCCUAAUUCGAGAAGCCUAUCAGAAAAUUGUAGCAGCUGGCUGUAUUCCUCUGACCUUGGGUGGAGAUCACACAAUCACCUAUCCUAUAUUGCAAGCGAUGGCAGAAAAGCAUGGGCCUGUAGGGCUGGUGCACGUGGACGCACACAUGGACACGGCGGACACGGCCCUGGGUGAGAAGCUCUAUCACGGGACGCCCUUCCGCCGGUGCGUGGACGAGGGACUCCUGGACUGUAAGCGCGUGGUACAGAUCGGCAUCCGGGGCUCUUCCAUGACCUUGGAUACCUACAGAUACAGCCGGAGCCAGGGCUUCCUGGUGGUCCUGGCCGAAGACUGCUGGAUGAAGUCACUGGUUCCUCUGAUGGGAAAAGUGAGGCAGCAGAUGGGAGUCAGACCCAUUUAUAUCAGCUUUGAUAUCGACGGCUUGGACCCUGCCUAUGCCCCAGGGACAGGGACACCCGAAAUUGCUGGUCUCACCCCUAGUCAGGUCUGUCUCGAAAGUAUAAUCAUCCUCCUUGACAAACUGAACAGAUUCGGCAGCAGACACGCUGCGUUUGUUUCAAGGGACAAUGUCAGGUAUUUGGACGUGACCAGCGUUUCAGCUGUAAAGAAUGUUUUGCAUCAGCUUUUCAAGAAUUUUACUUAGAAAAAAAUGUUUGAGUGUUUGCUCCUAAUCCCUUUUCCCAAACAAUGCAAAUCACUUAAAACACAUUCAGAUCCCACUUCUUUCUAUAGCAGGAAAACAUUUAUGUACUGAAUAAAGAGGGAAUCAACCUACUAUUUGAAACCACAACCAAGUUUUCAUGGUCAAUAAGCGAUGGCAGCAAGACUGUGGUGCCUAAUGGGAGUUAGGGCAGGCUUGCUCGCUGAAAUGUUGCCUAGUUGGAGGUGAUGAACUCUGUGUUAGAUUGUGCCACCGACACCUGGGCUAAUAAAAAAUUUUUUUUUAAAUGGGUGCGUAUAUCUACAAAGGCUUGUUUUAGGCCAGUUGUCCCCAUCUGCUCAACAUGAUGCAUAGUCUGUAUCAAUCAGAAGAACCCACCUCUGAAAACAUCAACGUUGUCAGUUUCAAGAUACUCGAAGACUAGGAAGUUAACUUAAAGCCAAAAUUGGGUCUGUGUGAUUACAUAUGUGAGUAAGAGAAAUGAUAGCAUUGGUUGACCAAGACAGUGGCUCAUACAUUUGACACAAAAGUAAACAAAUUCAUGGAAAUGACAUUCAGGAGGAAAGGCUUGGGUGGUCAAGAGUAAAGGUCAGUUUAAAAGCUUCCCAGUUUCCUCUUGGGGGACAUAGCUACCAGCCCCCAAACGGAUCUGUAGAUGAUUUUUUUGGAUUGAAAUAUUUCCUAGGAACGUUUUCACCAUUAUCACUUUCCUUUCUUUAUACAAAUGAAAGAUGCAGCUGUCUGAAGGUGCUUUUUAUUUUAAUGAUACAAUUUUUUAAAGUGAAUGAAUCUGGGGUGUUUUUGGUUUUCAGAAAUUAAGGUCAGGAAUCCCAUUAGUACCAGAAAUUAAAAAAAUAAAAACCUACCACUGAACCAAAACACUACUCAUAUAAGCAACUUGGCCAUAAGAGAUGCAGAAAAUAAUUUUGAGGACUUGGUGCAUCACAGAGCCAAAAAUGAAUUCCUUGAUCAGUUCUACCUAGGCCAGGUGCCAUGAGAUACGGCAAUCAGAAUAAACAUCCACUUUUAGAGGAUCAUGUGGAAAAAUAAAGCCUGGCAGUGAUUUAUUUUUUUAAAUAAAGCUAUAGAUUCCAUGAAAACUAGGAAUUUCUGGGCUCAAAUAAUUUGUUACUUGCCACUGUAGCUCAAUCCAAAUGGCUUAGUUUAAAGCAAUUACGAUUAAAGAAAAUAUUAACCUA